UUUGACAAAAUGCCCGUUGUAGCCCACGCCGCAUUCCAAAUUCAGAUUCACCUGCGCACCCACCUGCUCUGAUAGAAACAGGUGACGUGAUUCACGAUCAGUUUUUGAUCACAAUUCGACGAAGCUUUUUGUUUCUUCGACGUCGCUCUCCACCAACUAAAGGAUUCAUUGAUAAAAAAAUAAAAAAAGCGCUAUCAUUUAAUUUCUAAUCAUUCGAUUUAUUAUUCUUUCUGUGAAGAUCAAGUCAAGAUUGAGAAACAACUUUUGAGUUCAAGAUUUUUCUCUCUCCAGGUUUAGAGUGCAUGGAGUGAAAACCAGGAUGGCUAUGCGUCUGUACCACAGACGCUCCUCAGCAACAAGGGAAAAAAUUCAAAUGCAAAAUGGACUGUCUCCAAAUUCAUCCCUUCGACUUCAAGUGCUGGGAGCUACAUGUGGCCAUAGAGAUUCUUUGGGAGUCAACCGACAGCGAUCACAGUCACUUUACCCAGGCAGUCCCAACUGCCUUGGUAUACCAACUAGAUCGAGAUCUCAUUCAUUUAGUGGACCGUCAAAAACACCUAAAUUAGCAGAAAAGCAACUGACCCCAUCGGAAGAAGAACAGAUAUUCCGAUGUUAUACAAGGGUUAUGUAUAUUUUGUUAGGUGGAAUGGCAGCAGUGGUUAUGACUCUGGUACUAUAUGGGAUACGCUCAUUUACGAACAUAACCUGAGCACAAGCAGUUGAGUAAUUGUAUAUGUAUAUAGUGUUUUAAACCUCAGAGUUCCUAAAUAAGGAGUGAAGCUUGAAUUUCUUUCUUGAAAUCAAAGCAGUUUGAGUGAAGGCUUCGAUUAAUGUUCAAUUUAGUGGCAUGCAGAGAGGGGAGUUGCGGCCCAGGGCAUCUUGGACAAAGAGUGCACCCAAUCAACAAUUAAGGAGGCUAGAAAUUUAAAUUUAUUAUACAUUUUAGAAUGAAAUUAUUACUUUGAAGGUAAUUAUUUGGCUCAAGCAAUAUAUUUCAAAAAGGAUAAAACUUUUUAAUUUUCAGAAAUAAUAAAUUUAAAUUAAUAUUAUUUUAUUGCUAAUUUUAAAAUUUUUACCUUAGAAUAGAUAACAAUAGAUAUCUUUUAUACAAAUUAUAAAUAUGAAUUUAGAUUUGUUUUUAAAAUGCUUUUUGCUAGAUUAAAAUAGAUUCUCCCGGCAAUGAUUACACUCCUCAAUUCAAGAGCAUCUAAUAUAAUCAUUAAUUAAUAAGGUUGCCAAGCGCAUCCAAAUGCCUUUGCACGCCACUCCUUCAAUUUAGAACAUUAGUCUCAUGGUAUUGGUUUUAAUUGCUUUCUUCUUUGGGAAAUUCUGCAAAAGGUUACUGAAAAUUAUAUAAAUACACUGAUGAACUCAGAAAAUGCUUAAAAAGUUAUUUCACCUCCAGAAUAACUUAUAAAUAAUAAUACAGUUGGGUAUUAAUAAUAACACCAUCAUGUAGGGGAUAUCGAAAUACUAGAGCUUUAACUUCCGAGGUACCUUGUUUGGGUGUAAAAAGAGUGUUUUUCUUUAAAAUUUUAUUUUAGAAGUAAAAAUUAUACUUGAAAAUAAUUAUCCAUUAUUUGUAAUAACAUUGACUUAAAAUAACCUGUAUAAACAUAUUAGAUGUACUUAAAAAAAUUAUUUUUUUAUUCACUUGCAAUAAAAACAAAAUAUAUCAAUUCCUUAUCACAACUAGAGUUAAAGGAAUGAAAGAAUUUGUGAUUAUUUAUGUUUCUACCACGAGUGAAACAUGUAUAUUAUAAAAAAUGGAUUGCAUUUAGAAUAUUUGUAAAUAUGUUGAAAGAGAAUGAAUUUCAUCCAAUGCACCUUGUUAAAAAAAUUGUACGAGUAUUGCUUUGAAUUAUUAUGAAUAAAUGUCUUCUACAAAUGA
rnacentral:misc_RNA from 1 species